rnacentral:rRNA from 1 species
UACGGGGGGGGCAAGCGUUGUUCGGAAUUACUGGGCGUAAAGGGCUCGUAGGGGGCCAACUAAGUCAGACGUGAAAUCCCUCGGCUUAACCGGGGAACUGCGUCUGAUACUGGAUGGCUUGAGUUCGGGAGAGGGAUGCGGAAUUCCAGGUGUAGCGGUGAAAUGCGUAGAUAUCCGGAGGAACACCGGUGGCGAAGGCGGCUUCCUGGACCGACAUUGACGCUGAGGCGCGAAAGCUAGGGGAGCAAACGGG